UGGCGAGGGCCUUCAGGGUCUUUUCAUUGAGGAUGCCCAGGACCUCAGUCAGGGCAGGGGCAUAAGGGGACUCCCACAAAGACAUGGCUCCGGUUUCAACACUCUGUGGCAGCUUAUGCAUGCUGACCUCUACCUGCAAUGUGUUCGCAACUCGGACCUUUGGGGGUGACUGUGAUGGGCGUAUAUACUCUGCCCGCUGCCCAUCCCACCACCACUACCAGACGGCGGACGGCAGACCCUGGCCACCCCUGCAGCCCUGCCCCGGCCACCGGCGAGGCGAAGGACGUGCAGGCACUGAGUAGUGGGGUAUCGAGUUGCUGUCUUCGAGGUUUUUAACACAUUUUAGCUGACACUCAUUGAUACGGUUUCAGUAAUUACACCACUUGCAACAUUAUUUCAGGUGCAUUACUAUUAUUAUGUUCACGUGUUUAGGCGUAUGGGGCCGUAUCUAAUCUAUUAGAUUUUUCAGCUGUUGAUUUUUCUGGCGUGUGGAUGUUUAAUAUUUUUCUUGAGUAACAUUGUUACGCAUUUUAUGUAUAAUCAUUCAUUUUCUUUUCUCCUUUCUUUUGUGUAUUUUAUUGCUCAGUGGAGAAGUUUAAUAUUUUUCUUGAGUAACAUUGUUAUGCAUUUUAUGUAUAAUCAUUCAUUCUAUUUUCUCCUUUCUUUUGUGUAUUUUAUUGCACAGUGGAGAAGUUUUGUCUUGCUAAGCCUCACUCAUUAUUCUUUUUCCUCUUUUAUUAUGCAUUUUAAAAGCAUCGGGGAGGAGUGAGCACAUACUUAGCGGUGAAUGAUUAUUACUUUAAUUAUUUUUGCAGCAAUAUUUUUUUAUCUUUUACCAUUUUACUCCACAUUUUACUAGUAACUCUUUUUAAUGGCAGAGAAACCUGACCCGAAGUUACAAGCUCUCACCGAGGACUAUGAGGGGUGGGUAGAAAGAAAUGACAGUGCCAUCACGGAUAACAGUAACUGUUGUGUAAGGAGUGUAGCAGUCUUCAAAGGGUGCUUGCUCCUCCUUCUACGCUGCAUGAGCAACCAAGAGGUAUUUACUUACCUUACUAAUCCCACAGUGGCUUCUGCCCCUAAUCACCCGCAGUUAGCAGUUAGGCCUUUCGCAGGGUAGCAAGGGAGGCAGAUUAGUCGGCCAGGGACUUCUUGUUUCAAAGUGAGAUUGUCAUGGACAUUUCAUUCGUGUCAAAUCCGGGAGAUAAAAUAUCUCUCAGCUGCUCGAAGGUCAAUCCCGGGAACGGGAGCACGGCCCUCAUAAACAGGAGCGCGUUCACAGGACGGAAGGAUUAUGAUGCGUUUCGGUCACUUUUUCUUGAAACAUUUGGGGAAGAUGGGCAACACAGCCUCGUAAAGGGUAUAAAUUUUGCUGUGGACACUGUGCAAACGAGUGUCCUUUUUAACAGGCCAGUGGACGCAUAUAGGCUAUCUACUGAUUUGAUCUCGUGUUUUAAACAAGGAAACUGGACAGACGGAGAAACCAUUUCUGUAGCCAAUGCUAGAUUAUUACAAUAGUUCUUUGUGUACAUGAUUGUCCUUAAAGUUCCUCUUCGAAGGAGUGCAGUAUCCCUUGACUACAGCCCCACUGACAACCUACACGGUUUUAUCAGACAACUUUUAUGGCACUUAAAGUAAUUUUGGAUCCUUUUUGAAGCUUCUUUUGCCGUUGACACGUUUGUCGGGGAGGGGGGCCUUCGACCCUCUGACCUAAACCUUUUUGGGUGUCACCAGCGAUAAUAUAAAAAAUAAAAAUAAAUCCUUGGUGUGUUCUUUUACCCGUGGUUUAGGCAGAAAUAGUCAGAUAAAUAGGUGGACGGAAAUUUGAGCUUUACGAUCUAUUUUUUUUUAAUACACAGAAUGUGCAUAGUGAUCGUCUCCAAAGACUAGCGCUGACGCUGCUUUGUGUAUCUUUCCACCACACGACUAUAAUCUGCAUCCUCGCAUUUACUAAUUUAUGUUUGGUUCCUGAGCUUUUGCCUGCAUCUUUUUUUCAUGCGAGAGGGGAGUGCUUGAGUAAUACUUUUCACUCUAACCCAACUAUUUUCUUUUAUUGCUGAGUUGAUGCAAGGCAGUCAGUCUUCUUAAUUUAAUUGGAGCCGUAAUAACCGAGGGUGUAGACUAACAUAGGGAUAGGUACUUUUUAACCUUGAACCUCAUGUGCUUCUGCUUAAAACAGACUUUUUUUCUCUGCAAUGACACUUAACUGAACUUGAGCAGAUGCUGUCCCUAACUUUUAUUGUAACCAGCAUGUGAAUACCUGUAAGCUUUGGAAGUAUGCAAACAAGUCUUACUUACCCUUUGCUUGACAUACCACUGUUACCCGUUACGGGAAUUAUUUUUGGCGUCAGAUGUCAGUCAUCCACAUUCGUUACGAUCGAAGGAUAGGUGGAAAUUUGUCUUUUUAAUUUGAUAUUUAUUAAUGCUGGAAUUACUUUAAUCAAUUAUGCUGGAAUUAUAUAUUUCAGUGAGAUUUGUUACAACAGUGAUUUCACAACUUGGUGACAGUAUUUUCUUUUAUUAGUACUGUAGACCUGAAAAACGGAGUAUUAGGAGUUAGUGGUGCUGACUGCCGAUGCUUCUAAGGUUCUCCAGACUUGUCCUUGUUAUCACACUGUAACUAUUAGGAGACUCUACAGAUAACAUUACCUCUUUUCAAACAACCUUAUCUAUUGUUGUAAACCCCACCCGUCUCGAAGGCGUGCCGAGGGUAACGACACUGGCAAUUAAUUGUCACGCAACGGAUGAGUGUUUCUCUGCGACAGUUUUGUGUCAAGGUGUGACUCGAAGGUUCAGUGUGUAGCAGAUCUUCUUCAAGGAUUGUUCCUUUUUCUUUUAACUAUUCCAAAUAGCUCCAUUGCCAUGUAUCCUAAUGACAAUUUAGUCAAUUUAUUUUUCUAGGGUGUAUGAUGUAAAUAAUUUUUUGAGCUAUUAUUUUGUUUUCUCGGAAUAGAACUCAGCUUCCACGUCCAUGACUCUAGCCCUGAUUACCUCGAUCUGUAUGCGCAUUACCCAUUUCUUGUUACUUCCAUGAUUAUUAUCAUUGGCAUUUCCUGAUGUUGUAUUGUUAGGCGAGCUCUGACUUAUGUGAUAAUCUUUAAAACAACUGUAACGAGACAACGCUUAGCUAGUACACUUUGGGCAACUGUAACAUGGGUAGGUACAGAAAUUUGUAAAGGUGGAGUGAGCCGCGAGGUCGCGACUCUUAGGGAACCGAGCGAUGUAAUGUGUAUAUUAUAAUGUACAUGUGUAUGUAUGACUGUAUGUGUGGCGACACCCAGUUGGUGUCGCACAACAGGAUGUUUAACAACACGUCAUGCUUUUGGCCAUGGGAAGCUGUGAUGAACUGACACUAGGAUCAGCAAAUGAUGACUUUCAUCAGCCGUCAUCAACCGGAAGCCCCACCCUUCCGGACGAACUACAAGCAAAUAAAACAGGCGAACAACGCAGAGAAGACGAGUGACGGGCUGGUGAGCAGUGCUCCGCUGCUCCACGGCCUGUGGUGUGGCUGUCUCUGAUUUCGUGCGUCUCGCUCACGCAAACUGUAAACUUUUGUGUAAUACUGUUAAUAUAGUUAAAAUACUA